rnacentral:lncRNA from 1 species
ACCUCGGGGGUUUCCUGCUUUAUGGCGAAGGGCCAGGGCCCCACACCUUCCGCCUGACAGCCAGCCAAGCUCUUCAGUCCCCCGCCCUCCACCUGCCAGGGAGGCUCCGGGCGUUGUACCUGCCACCACGGGGUAGGUCUGACACAUAUACUCACAGAAAUGAGUUAUUUAAAGAAGACGGUCCAGAUUCCACAGUCCAAAAAAAAAAGAGGUUUGCCCUGCUUCUGAAGGAGUCAGGGUAUGAAUGCAGAGGUCUUCCUGUUGGCUCACAUAUCAGAUCUUCAACGUCAACAUUAAAUGCUGAAAGAACAUCAGUGUAUCAGCACAGCAAAUAUUCCAAAUGCCAGGCUGGAUUCCCUCCAAUUACCAGGACCUCCAGGCUUCUCCUCCUUUCAAGAACUUUCUGACCCUGGAUCCAGUCUAAAUGUUGGUUAUAAACUCACCUGACAUCCACAGGGCCCUUCCAAAAUACUGUCAAGGCUGACUGCUGGUGCCUGGAACCUGCACACCCU